GAAAGCAUCUAAGCGGGAAGCCAUCCCAAAGAUAAGAUAUCACUGGACCUUUAAGGUCCCUAAAGAUUCGUUGUAGACUACGACGUUGAUAGGCUGGGUGUGGAAGUUUGGUAACAAGCGGAGCUAACCAGUACUAAUUAAUCGUGAGGCUUGAUCUUGUAACAUUA
rnacentral:rRNA from 1 species